rnacentral:rRNA from 1 species
UGCAACUCGACUCCGUGAAGCUGGAUUCGCUAGUAAUCGCGCAUCAGCCAUGGCGCGGUGAAUACGUUCCCGGGCCUUGUACACACCGCCCGUCAAGCCAUGGGAGCCGGGGGUACCUGAAGUCCGUAACCGCGAGGAUCGGCCUAGGGUAAAACUGGUGACUGGGGCUAAGUCGUAACAAGGUAGC